GACUGGUGAAAGAUAACUUGUUUAGUCGUUUUCGUAUGGAUCUUACCUUUACUUUCAGAAAUAAUGUGAUUGUAUUCUCAAAGAGAAAUCGGUUUUGUCGAAAGAGUACAAGCAAAAUGAGUUGUUGAAGAAGAUAAUCAAUAGGCCAUAGAGGGAGAGAAGGUGAUGGUUGUGGCUUUAAUGGCAUGGGGUGUUCGAUGCUGCCAAAAUACUCUUACCCAUCGCCAUUUUUACAUUAAUUUGGCUUCAAUAGAAUCCAUUUUUCUUCUUUGAAACCAUUAAGGUAGUGAAUUUUACAUAGAUUUAAUUUUAGAAAUUUCUGCUUGUAUAAUUUAAUUAUCCAAUGUUGUAUCUAUUUUGGAGGCUUGAUAUGAUACGGUAAAUUCUGUGAUAGUUUUCUGGAUUUUUUUUAUAUUUCAUCACAGGAUGUUGUAUUCAAUAGAAAGGUAUGAAUAUGUACCUCAACAACACAGUAGUUGAAGUGCCAAGUAAAGACCUCUUAUUGUCAGAGGAAGUUUUGC
rnacentral:lncRNA from 1 species